CCUACGGGUGGCAGCAGUGGGGAAUAUUGGACAAUGGGGGCAACCCUGAUCCAGCCAUGCCGCGUGUGUGAAGAAGGCCCUCGGGUUGUAAAGCACUUUCAGUGAGGAAGAACGCCUGGUGGUUAAUACCCAUCAGGAAAGACAUCACUCACAGAAGAAGCACCGGCUAACUCCGUGCCAGCAGCCGCGGUAAUACGGAGGGUGCGAGCGUUAAUCGGAAUUACUGGGCGUAAAGCGCGCGUAGGUGGCUUGAUAAGCCGGUUGUGAAAGCCCCGGGCUCAACCUGGGAACGGCAUCCGGAACUGUCAAGCUAGAGUGCAGGAGAGGAAGGUAGAAUUCCCGGUGUAGCGGUGAAAUGCGUAGAGAUCGUGAGGAAUACCAGUGGCGAAGGCGGCCUUCUGGACUGACACUGACACUGAGGUGCGAAAGCGUGGGUAGCAAACAGGAUUAGAUACCCGGGUAGUC
rnacentral:rRNA from 1 species